rnacentral:rRNA from 1 species
GCUCAACCGAGGAAGUGCUUCGAAAACUGGUAAACUUGAGUGCAGAAGAGGAAAGUGGAACUCCAUGUGUAGCGGUGGAAUGCGUAGAUAUAUGGAAGAACACCAGUGGCGAAGGCGGCUUUCUGGUCUGUAACUGACGCUGAGAUUCGAAAGCAUGGGUAGCAAACAGGAUUAGAUACCCUGGUAGUCCAUGCCGUAAACGAUGAGUGCUAAGUGUUGGAGGGUUUCCGCCCUUCAGUGCUGCAGCUAACGCAUUAAGCACUCCGCCUGGGGAGUACGACCGCAAGGUUGAAACUCAAAGGAAUUGACGGGGGCCCGCACAAGCGGUGGAGCAUGUGGUUUAAUUCCAAGCAACGCGAAGAACCUUACCAGGUCUUGACAUACCAUGAAAAGCUUAGAGAUAAGUCUUUCCCUUCGGGGACAUGGAUACAGGUGGUGCAUGGUUGUCGUCAGCUCGUGUCGUGAGAUGUUGGGUUAAGUCCCGCAACGAGCGCAACCCUUAUUAUCAGUUGCCAGCAUUCAGUUGGGCACUCUGGUGAGACUGCCGGUGACAAACCGGAGGAAGGUGGGGACGACGUCAAAUCAUCAUGCCCCUUAUGACCUGGGCUACACACGUGCUACAAUGGUCGGUACAACG